rnacentral:tRNA from 1 species
CCGCCGGCUCGGGCAAUCAGCGAGCCCAGCGGGCUGUAACCCCGUGGCCGACCGGCUGUGGAGGUGCAACUCCUCCCCGGCGGACCA